AACCCUAUGGCAAUGGGCAAGGAGACACCUGAUUGAAUGGUGUUGCUCUAUAUCAAUCAGGGGCAAAGCAGAUGUAGAGUUCUUAGUUUAUCCUAGCUUGAGGCUUGUGUCAAUGGCCAGAGCUGUUUCAUGCCUGAGGCACAUAA
rfam:Myotis davidii contig8565, whole genome shotgun sequence.